GGGGGGGGGGGGGGGGGUGGGUGGGGGAGGCAGGUCGAACGGGGGGGCGGUGCUGGUGGGGGGUGCUCGAGUGGCGAGCGGGUGAGUAACACGUGAGUGGCCUGCCCUUGACUUUGGGAUAACUUCAGGAAACUGGGGCUAAUACCGGAUAGGAGCUCCUGCCGCAUGGUGGGGGUUGGAAAGUUUCGGCGGUUGGGGAUGGACUCGCGGCUUAUCAGCUUGUUGGUGGGGUAGUGGCUUACCAAGGCUUUGACGGGUAGCCGGCCUGAGAGGGUGACCGGCCACAUUGGGACUGAGAUACGGCCCAGACUCCUACGGGAGGCAGCAGUGGGGAAUAUUGCACAAUGGGCGGAAGCCUGAUGCAGCAACGCCGCGUGCGGGAUGACGGCCUUCGGGUUGUAAACCGCUUUCGCCUGUGACGAAGCGUGAGUGACGGUAAUGGGUAAAGAAGCACCGGCUAACUACGUG
rnacentral:rRNA from 1 species